rnacentral:rRNA from 1 species
UACGUAGGAGGCGAGCGUUAUCCGGAUUUACUGGGCGUAAAGGGCAAGUAGGCGGUGGCCAAAGUUGGGCGUGACAUCUCCCGGCUCAACUGGGAGGGGUCGUUCAAAACUAGGUCACUUGAGGGCAGGAGAGGGAAGCGGAAUUCCUAGUGUAGCGGUGGAAUGCUCAGAUAUUAGGAAGAACACCAGUGGCGAAGGCGGCUUCCUGGCCUGCACCUGACGCUGAGAGGCGAAAGCUAGGGGAGCGAACGGGCUUAGAUACCCGGGUAGUCCCUGAG